rnacentral:SRP_RNA from 1 species
AAUUCGGUCUUACGCAAUGGAAAUCUGUGAACCGUGUCAGGUUGGGAACAAAGCAGCACUAAACAGAAGCUUUCAUGUGCCGUAAGGGUGCCGGGUGGAG